UAUCCAUUGGAGGGCAAGUCUGGUGCCAGCAGCUGCGGUAAUACCAGCUCCAAUAGCGUAUAUUAAAGUUGUUGCAGUUAAAAAGCUCGUAGUUGGACUUGUGUGCGCUGUCCGCGGGUGGCCUGCGCCCAAAAGGGCGUUUCUGUUCGGCCCCGGUGGCGCCUUGAAAUCUGCAGCUGGGGGGACGUUGGCCUUAACUGGUCGGCGACCGCACGCCGGCUGCUCGGUUACCGUGAGAAAAUUAGAGUGUUCAAGGCAGGCAUUGGGUGCAAUUGAAUACAUUAGCAUGGAAUAAUAAAAUAUGGCUCCUGCCGUAUUUUGUUGGUUUUGACUGGUGGGAGUAAUGAUUGAUAGGGACGGUUGGGGGUGCUAGUAUUGAGCGGCCAGAGGUGAAAUUCAUGGAUUCGCUCAAGACUAACUUAUGCGAAAGCAUUCACCAAGGACGUCCUCUUUAAUCAAGAACGAAAGUUGGGGGAUCGAAGACGAUCAGAUACCGUCGUAGUCUCAACCAUAAACUAUGUCGACUUGGGAUCGGCGGUAGUUUUUUCAUUAAGACACUGUCGGGACCACGGGAGAAAUCAAAGUGUCUGGACUCUGGGGGAAGUAUGGUCGCAAGGCUGAAACUUGAAGGAAUUGACGGAAGGGCACCACCAGGAGUGGAGCCUGCGGCUUAAUUUGACCCAACACGGGGAAACUUACCAGGUCCAGAGAUGUAGAGGAUUGACAGAUUGAAGCUCUUUCUUGAUCACUUCGGUGGUGGUGCAUGGCCGUUCUUAGUUGGUGGAGUGAUUUGUCUGGUUAAUUCCGUUAACGAACGAGACCUCAGCCUGCUAGUGUAGUCGGCUGGAUUGCCUUUGGCGAUCCGUGAUUUCGACUUCUUAGAGGGACAAUCGACGCGCAGUCGAUGGAAGUUUGAGGCAAUAACAGGUCUGUGAUGCCCUUAGAUGUUCUGGGCCGCACGCGCGCUACACUGCUGGGCUCAGCGAGUUUUACUUGGCCGAGAGGCCCGGUUAAUCUUGUGAAAUCCCAGCGUGCUUGGGCUCGCCUCCUGCAACUGGAGGCGCCAACGAGGAAUUCCUAGUAGACGCAGGUCAUCAACCUGCAUCGAUUACGUCCCUGCCCUUUGUACACACCGCCCGUCGUUCCAUAAGAGUGAGGCAUCCGGUGAAUUCUCGGGAGAGCCUGGGCGUGGCCAGCAAUGGUCUGCUCGGGUUUGAACUUGCAUAAACUUGGUGCCUAUGAUUAGGG
rnacentral:rRNA from 1 species